rnacentral:sRNA from 1 species
AAUAUAGGAAAACUUUCAUCCAACAAUCAAAUCGAAAAUAAAUAAGGGCCAAAACGAGAGAAAAGAAUACUCGUACUCAUACCCGGUGCAGCGAAACUGUAUUUAAAGACCCCUGGGAGGAUGGUGCUGGGGGCCAAGUGAGAAUUGUUGUUUGCAAUCAGGCGGAGACCAGCCAACGAGUGGAGCAGACUGGAGUGGAGUGGCAGUGCCAGUUCGGAGGAGAUGGAGAUGAAGAUGAGGAUGAAGAUGGACAAGAAACUUCUGGGCGAGGGCGACGACAAUCAUGGAACAGGGGACAGAACAGAGCUCAAACCCAAGCAGAUUCAAACUGCAUCGCAAUGGAAUGAAGUUAAUAAGUUUCAGCGAGCCAGCAGUCCGGCGACAAACCCUGUGCCAAUGAAAUAAAGCAGCAACGACUUAAAUACAGGAUACUCGGUCUGGAAAAAAGUAUAUAUUAUUUGAGGAAAUGUUGCAGAACAAUUAAAAAGUUGUGGACUUUCAUGAGUCAAUCAAACGACUGAGAACCGCAACGACUUUCUCGAGAGUUGCUCAACUUUGCGGCACUUUAAAUGCCAGACAGACAGACGGCACAACAGGCAUAUGCAUACGCAUACGAUGCCCCAUGGUGCAGCAUAUGAAGAAGCAA